CAUUUUUUCCUCCUCCUCCUCCUCCUCUUCCUCUUCUCCCAGGCCUCUCUGGUGAAGGCUGGAGGUCAGAAGUGCACGUACCACUUUGACUUGGAUGAGAAUCCUUCCGUGCUGUGAGAAGAUUUCUCCAUCAGGAGCUAAGUUUCUGCUUCCACAGCUGCCAUUCCAAGGCCAACGGGUCUGUGUGAUGACCAGACAGAAUGUCACCCACCCCACCUCAGACUCCUUCCCGCUUCAUUCUCCCUGCUGUUGCAGAGCCCUUGGCUCGGAGACUCAAUUCCAUGGCCUUCUGCAGCCUGCACAAGCCUGCAGACACCUCCCCUGGGCGCAGGCAAGAGUGGUCAGGCCUUUUGGACCUCAGGGUUCUGCCCAGGAAUAUCCUAGGACACUCGGACGGUGGCAAGCAUGGAGGGACGACACCGUGUCCUGCUCUGGACUCAGUGUUCAGGGACAUAGACGCGUAACGACAGUCCUCCUGGGAGCCGAGACUGCAGUUUGAUGAUGGUUGAAGUGAGUGAUUGCUGGUGUUCACAGGGGCCGGGAGAGAACACAAACUCAGCACAAAGUCCACCCCUGGAGGUCAGAAGGACAGGGGACUGAACCUGGCUGGGAGAGGCGGGGGACAGUGUUCUAGGCAGCCCCUGACAGGAGGGCUGGUGGCAUGUUUAGGAAGGGAAAAUGGCUUGUGGCCAGAACACAGGGAUGAAAAGGAGAGGAGUCUUAUAACUACGAUAGCACUGUUUCCCCAGGUCCAGGCAGACUUGGGGUGGUUGUCAGCAUGCUAGAGCCAGUCGAGGCAGCGCGACUCAUUGUGCCCCCUUGGAUGUUACACAGCAAGUGUGUGACAGGCCCCCACAGGCCGAAUCUUCAAAAGGCAGAGGGGUAUAAGGGCUCAGGAUGGCGGUGGUAUGUCCCCUCCCCCACACCAUUCUGUUAACAGGUACAGGGAUCUUGGGACCUCUUCUGGCAGCUGGGUUGACCUUGCAAUUUGCUUCUGCUCAUAAAGGCCAACAAAGGUAAAGAGACAAGCAGAAAUAGUGUCUGGUGUCUCAGGUAGUAGAUGCUGGUCACAGUAGCUCCUACAGCACAUAGUGCACAUACUCAGGUGCCCCAAACCAUCAUGAGGGAAGGCUCUGCUUGCCUGUCCUUUGCUGCUGUAACUGAUACUCAUACAAUCAACUUACAAAGAAGCAAGGUCCAGGUUGGCUCAUAGCAUCAUGGGUUUUAGUCUUUGCUGCUCUGAGGCCUGUUCUGGAGCAGAACAAUGGGCCCAUGGUGCCCAUCAUGACUUGACUCUAAACAUGCCAUGAAUACUUAGUCUCAGGUAGGUGCUAUUUGAACGACCAAGUAACUUUACUUCAUGGAGUGUAGUGGCUGAAACAAGCCACUGGGGGCAGGAUUCAAAGGCAAUGCCCAAUGCAAGUUACUGUCUCACUGGUUUCUGGUCCACUAUGCUGUGAACGGCCUCUGCCAGGCAACCCUGCAGCUCUGAACCGUGUUGCUCCCUCUGGAACCCUGAGUAGAAAUAAAUUGUACCCGCUUCGGUUUCCUCUGUCA
rnacentral:lncRNA from 1 species